rnacentral:lncRNA from 1 species
UCUCCCUCUCCCGUCUCCCUCUCCCUCUCCCGUCUCCCUCUCCCUCUCCCGUCUCCCUCUCCCUCUCAUGCCGAGCCAAAGCUGGACGGUACUGCUGCCAUCUCGGCUCACUGCAACCUCCCUGCCUGAUUCUCCUGCCUCAGCCUGCCGAGUGCCUGCGAUUGCAGGCGCGCGCCGCCACGCCUGACUGGUUUUCGUUUUUUUUUGGUGGAGAUGGGGUUUCGCUGUGUUGGCCGGGCUGGUCUCCAGCUCCUAACCGCGAGUGAUCCGCCAGCCUCGGCCUCCCGAGGUGCCGGGAUUGCAGAUGGAGUCUCGUUCACUCAGUGCUCAAUGGUGCCCAGGCUGGAGUGCAGUGGCGUGAUCUCGGCUCGCUACAACCACCUCCCAGCCGCCUGCCUUGGCCUCCCAAAGAGCCGAGAUUGCAGCCUCUGCCCGGCCGCCACCCCGUCUGGGAAGUGAGGAGCGUCUCUGCUUGGCCACCCAUCGUCUGGGAUAUGAGGAGCCCCUCUGCCUGGCUGCCCAGUGUGGAAAGUGAGGAGCGUCUCUGCCCGGCCGCCAUCCCAUCUAGGAAGCGAGAAGCGCCUCUUCCCCGCCGCCAUCCCAUCUAGGAAGUGAGGAGCGUCUCUGCCCGGCCGCCCAUCGUCUGAGAUGUGGGGAGCACCUCUGCCCCACCGCCCUGUCUGGGAUGUGAGGAGCGCCUCUGCUGGGCCGCAACCCUGUCUGGGAGGUGAGGAGUGUCUCUGCCCGGCCGCUCCGUCUGAGAAGUGAGGAAACCCUCUGCCUGGCAACCGCCCCGUCUGAGAAGUGAGGAGCCCCUCCGUCUGGCAACCACCCCGUCUGGGAAGUGAGGAGCGUCUCCGCCCGGCAGCCACCCCGUCCGGGAGGGAGGUGGGGGGGGUCAGCCCCCCGCCCGGCCAGCCGCCCCGUCCGGGAGGUGAGGGGCGCCUCUGCCCGGCCGCCCCUACUGGGAAGUGAGGAGCCCCUCUGCCCGGCCAGCCGCCCCGCCCAGGAGGGAGGUGGGGGGGUCAGCCCCCCGCCCGGCCAGCCGCCCCGUCCGGGAGGGG